AAAAAGAUGCAUGAGGAAGAACACCAUCAACAAUGUCCAUCUUACAACUGCAACUGAUACAAAUGAAUGAGGGGAGGAUACAGCAAGAAGGUGGCUGUCUGUAAACAGAAAGUGGGCCCUCACCAGACACUGAAUAUGCCAGUACUUGGAUCUUGAACUUCCCAGCCUCCAGAAUUGUGAGAAAUAAAUGUUUCUUGUUUAAGGCA